rnacentral:tRNA from 1 species
GGUGAGGUGCUGGAGUGGUCGAACAGGGCCGCCUGCUAAGCGGCUGUCCGUGGAAACGCGGACCGAGGGUUCGAAUCCCUCCCUCACCGCCA